rnacentral:lncRNA from 1 species
UGAGUCUGAACAACACUCUAACCAGUUUUUUUUGGAUCAUUUAAGUUAAACAUUUUGGUGGAGUGCUUGUGCUUUAGCCACUCAUCUUUCAAC